rnacentral:rRNA from 1 species
CCUACGGGUGACUGCAGUGGGGGAUGUUGCACAAUGGGGGGAACCCUGAUGCAGCGACGCCGCGUGGGUGAAGGAGCGUUUCGGCGCGUAAAGCCCUAUCGGCAGGGAAGAAGAUGACGGUACCUGGCCAAGAAGCCCCGGCUAACUACGUGCCAGCAGCCGCGGUAAUACGUAGGGGGCAAGCGUUAUCCGGAUUUACUGGGUGUAAAGGGGGCGCAGACGGCAAUGCAAGCCAGGAGUGAAAGCCCGGGGCCCAACCCCGGGACUGCUCUUGGAACUGCAUGGCUGGAGUACAGGAGGGGCAGGCGGAAUUCCUAGUGUAGCGGUGAAAUGCGUAGAUAUUAGGAGGAACACCGGUGGCGAAGGCGGCCUGCUGGACUGUGACUGACGUUGAGGCCCGAAGGCGUGGGGAGCAAACAGGAUUAGAUACCCGGGUAGUC